rfam:Leptomonas pyrrhocoris LpyrH10_09, whole genome shotgun sequence.
AGCAGUGUCGCUAUGCGUCUCCGCCACAACCCCCAUGUGGAGCUACGGUACGAAACACGUGCGAGAG